rnacentral:rRNA from 1 species
CAGCCGCCACGGUAAUACGUAGGGUGCAAGCGUUAAUCGGAAUUACUGGGCGUAAAGCGUGCGCAGGCGGUUUGUUAAGACAGAUGUGAAAUCCCCGGGCUCAACCUGGGAACUGCAUUUGUGACUGGCAGGCUAGAGUAUGGCAGAGGGGGGUGGAAUUCCGCGUGUAGCAGUGAAAUGCGUAGAUAUGCGGAGGAACACCGAUGGCGAAGGCAGCCCCCUGGGCCAAUACUGACGCUCAUGCACGAAAGCGUGGGGAGCAAACAGGAUUAGAUACCCCCGUAGUCCCUGUCUCUUAUAA